rnacentral:misc_RNA from 1 species
GAUGAAGAACGUAGCGAAAUGCGAUAAGUAAUGUGAAUUGCAGAAUUCAGUGAAUCAUCGAAUCUUUGAACGCACAUUGCGCCCGGCAGUACUCUGCCGGGCAUGCCUGUUCGAGCGUCAUUUCAACCCUCAAGCCCUGCUUGGUGUUGGGGCCCCACGGCUGCCGUGGGCCCUGAAAGGAAGUGGCGGGCUCGCUACAACUCCGAGCGUAGUAAUUCAUUAUCUCGCUUAGGGCGUUGGGCGGCGCUCCAGCCGUUAAAGAACCAUCUUUAACUCAUGGUUGACCUCGGAUCAGGUAGGAAUACCCGCUGAACUUAAGCAUAUCAAUAAGCGGAGGA